GUGUCUAUGACCCGAUGGCUACCCUCACAAGGUUUAGCCGGCCUGUUGAAGUGGGUGUGGCCACUGCUGCAUGCUAGCAGCUACUAGGACCUACAAGUGAGAGUUGGGUGUCAGGUGAGGGUCAGAGAUUGGAGAGCUGCCCUAGGAGGGCACGACAAGCCCUCCAUACCAAAGAUACUACUCCUCCCUGAGCACCCCAUACAUCCCACAAAAGGUAUAACUAACCACAAAAAAGGUGUAAACACCCAUUUCAUGCAUUGAGUGGGAGGUCUGUGAUCCAUAUGAGAAAGAGUGGGCAUUCCUGGAGAGGAGAGUCUGCUGUGAUUGGUAGACAUGAAAUUUAGGGAGGUGACACAAGAGAAUAAGGUCUUUAAAUAGAGGAAACAAAGACUGAAGAAGAAGUCACUGGAAUUUGGAGUAAAGGAUGAGUAACUCCGAACUAGAGGGAAGACAGACACUUGAGGAGAGACUGGAAGAUGGACACUUGCCCUUGGCCUUAGAACUGGACCCCUGGAGGAGCUCGUGCAGGAGACCUAAGACUGCUUUCCUUUUACAUGGUCACCCUUGCAAAGCCUCUUGAUUCAGCUCAUUCCUCCUGACCUUCUUGACCAAGAUCAUUCACCUGGUCCGGGCUCCUGCUCCUGCUGCCUGCUUCUGCGCUCCAGCAAUCCACUCCUGCCUGCAGUCAUCCGCUCCAGACCUGCUUGACCCAGAUCCCUCUUCAGGUCCGGCCCCAGCCAUGGCCCCAGCCCUGGCCCCAGCCCUGGCCCUGGCCCCGACCCUGACCCCAGCUGAUCUCUAGCCUCUGAGCCAGAUGACCCCAGGCCAGUCCCAGGACCCUGGCUGCUGAUAGCUGCCCCCAUUUCUUCAGGAUUCACAAACAAGCUGGUAAAAAUGGAGUGAUCUUUCCUUAGGCUACAAUUAGCCUCCACGGGGCAGGGGACCACAGGGGGGACAACAAAGAGAAGGAAGAAACUUUUCCAAACAGGAAGUUGAUUAAAAGCAUGGCAUAUUUCAAAGAAUAUCUUUUGAGUACACUGAUUCUGUUAUUCAUCUCACCUGAGAUUCAGG
rnacentral:lncRNA from 1 species